GACGAACGCUGGCGGCGCGCUUAACACAUGCAAGUCGAACGGAAAGGCCCUGCUUUUGUGGGGUGCUCGAGUGGCGAACGGGUGAGUAACACGUGAGUAACCUGCCCUUGACUUUGGGAUAACUUCAGGAAACUGGGGCUAAUACCGGAUAGGAGCUCCUGCUGCAUGGUGGGGGUUGGAAAGUUUCGGCGGUUGGGGAUGGACUCGCGGCUUAUCAGCUUGUUGGUGGGGUAGUGGCUUACCAAGGCUUUGACGGGUAGCCGGCCUGAGAGGGUGACCGGCCACAUGGGGACUGAGAGACGGCCCAGACUCCUACGUGAGGCAGCAGUGGGGAAUAUUGCACAGUGGGCGGAAGCCUGAUGCAGCAACGCCGCGUGCGGGAUGACGGCCUUCGGGGUGUAAACCGCUUUCGCCUGUGACGAAGCGUGAGUGACGGUAAUGGGUAAAGAAGCACCGGCUAACUACGUG
rnacentral:rRNA from 1 species